AUUGAACGCUGGCGGAAUGCUUUACACAUGCAAGUCGAGCGGCAGCGCGGGGGCAACCCUGGCGGCGAGCGGCGAACGGGUGAGUAAUACAUCGGAACAUGUCCAGUUGUGGGGGAUAGCCCGGCGAAAGCCGGAUUAAUACCGCAUGAGCUCUGGCGAGGAAAGCGGGGGACCGAAAGGCCUCGCGCGACUGGGUUGGCCGAUGUCCGAUUAGCUAGUUGGUGGGGUAAAGGCUCACCAAGGCGAUGAUCGGUAGCUGGUCUGAGAGGAUGAUCAGCCACACUGGGACUGAGACACGGCCCAGACUCCUACGGGAGGCAGCAGUGGGGAAUUUUGGACAAUGGGGGCAACCCUGAUCCAGCCAUUCCGCGUGAGUGAAGAAGGCCU
rnacentral:rRNA from 1 species